GAUGAACGCUGGCGGCGUGCCUAAUACAUGCAAGUCGAACGAAACUUCUUUAUCACCGAGUGCUUGCACUCACCGAUAAAGAGUUGAGUGGCGAACGGGUGAGUAACACGUGGGCAACCUGCCCAAAAGAGGGGGAUAACACUUGGAAACAGGUGCUAAUACCGCAUAACCAUAGUUACCGCAUGGUAACUAUGUAAAAGGUGGCUAUACUACCGCUUUUGGAUGGGCCCGCGGCGCAUUAGCUAGUUGGUAGGGUAAAGGCUUACCAAGGCAAUGAUGCGUAGCCGAAGUGAGAGGCUGAUCGGCGACAUUGGGACGGGGACACGGACAAAACUACUAAGGGAGGCAGCAGUAGGGAAUCUGACACAAUAGGCGAAAGCCUGAUGGAGCAACGCCGAGUGGGUGACGAAGGUCUUCGGAUCGUAAAACCCUGUUGUUAGAGAAGAAAGUGCGUGGGAGUAAAUGUUCACGUUUCGACGGUAUCUAACCAGAAAGCCACUGCUAACUACGUG
rnacentral:rRNA from 1 species